rnacentral:rRNA from 1 species
UACGUAGGGGGGCUAGCGUUGUCCGGAUUUAUUGGGCGUAAAGCGCGUGUAGGCGGUCCGGUAAGUCCGCUGUGAAAGUCGGGGGCUCAACCCUCGGAUGCCGGUGGAUACUGUCGGGCUUGAGUACGGAAGAGGCGAGUGGAAUUCCUGGUGUAGCGGUGAAAAUGCGCAGAUAUCAGGAGGAACACCAAUUGCGAAGGCAGCUCGCUGGGACGUUACUGACGCUGAGACGCGAAAGCGUGGGGAGCAAACAGG